ACAACUUAAACAGACACGUGGUCCGCCUCAGGCAGCUGGCUGUGGCGGCUAAAGCUGCAGGGGAUGCAGAGGAGUACGCUAUGGAUGCUGGGAAUGAAGGCGAAGCUCCUGCGCAUGAUCCAGCCUCUCUACAGAGAGUUGAGCUUGUUCAUAGGACAUCAAUAGAAGUUGAACGAAUCACACCUCAGCUGAUAACUGCUGCUCAGGCACUCUCAAGGGAUCCGGCAGACAUUGCAAAUGUUGAACGACUUGAGCUCCGGAGGAGGGACUGGGCCUCGAAAGUUCACGGUCUUGUAUACGCAGUGGAUGACGUCACUGUUGGUACUUCUGCGCCCGUUUAACAAUUAGCAGCGGUUGCCAUGGCAGGUGACAAGCAUGCGCUUCAAGAAAACUCGCGCAUGUUAACGUCAUAUGCGCGAACUCUAAAAGGAAUGGUUGAUGCGGCAAUUGCUGGAUGUAAAGAACCCAAGAAAGUUAGCUUAGCCAAGGGUACAGUUAACUCCAUUGACAAGCUCACCGCUGACCUCCAAGACACGUCUCGUUUAGUGUCGGAGAUGGCACUUCGAGAAAAUAGAACACUAGAGCAAAGUUUGUCUUACAUGGGGGUGGUGGAGAGGAUGAAUCUUCUUCAGAGGGAGUGGGCAAU